rnacentral:rRNA from 1 species
UACGGAGGGUGCAAGCGUUGUUCGGAAUCAUUGGGCGUAAAGCGCGUGUAGGCGGCUUGGCAAGUCGGUUGUGAAAUCCCGGGGCCCAACCCCGGAACUGCAUUCGAAACUGCCUCGCUAGAGUCCCGGAGAGGAAGGCGGAAUUCCCGGUGUAGAGGUGAAAUUCGUAGAUAUCGGGAGGAACACCAGCGGCGAAGGCGGCCUUCUGGACGGUGACUGGCGCUGAGACGCGAAAGCGUGGGGAGCAAACAGG